rnacentral:lncRNA from 1 species
GCAGACCAUUCCAUUGUAAUUGAUCAUUACAAAACCCUUUAGCAAUUAUGUUAGCACAGCUGAAAACUGUUGUUCCUGAUUAAAGAAGCAAUAAAACUGGCCAUCUUUAGACUAGACUGUGCGGACCUUGUGUUGAAGGUGCUGAGCUCCUUUAAGAGUAGUAUAAUAGAGCAUGUGGUCCAAUCUCUGGAUAAGGACAGAGUGGACCUGCUCAUGAAGUACAUCUACAAAGACCUUGAGACGCCAUCGGAUAACAGCAGUGCCGUCCUGCUACAUUGACAAGAAAAGGCUCUAUCUGCAGGUGGAGUGGAAUGCAUCUUCAGAGUACUAACAGCCAGAAAGACUGUCUAACUUACAAAUGAGGAAAGGAUCCAUGUUCUUCACAGCAACUGUCUGGUACACAUCACAACACAAGGAUGAUAUGUGUAUUAUACAGUAGAUCACAGGAUGCCACAUGGGAGACCUGUCUGUUUGUAGUCAGAUCUCACUUCCCACUGUCUUCCUGUACCUAUACAGAUACAAAAUGACAAACUUUUUCGCACAUUCACCCAAACACAUAAGACACACCAAAUUGGCAUGGUAUUUACUCCAUUGUCUUCCCUCCCUAGACCCUCAAAUACACACACAAACAAUGCUACAGCACGCUUUUAGGUCUGGCUUUGUUUCUUUCUGAAAAAAUCUCUGAUUAUUGUCAGCUCAUUUGUUUACCGUAAUACUAUUUUCAUUAAAGCUCUGUUAGUCCGUUGUCUUUGCUAAAAAGCUGAUCAGUGAAUUCCAGAUCGAACAAAAGCCUAUAAUUCCCCUCCAAAAUCCCUAAUUAAGUGGGAGGCUCCUGAAAAGCACAGCCACAGAUAGAGCGUUUGCUCCUACAAGGUGGGAUCCAGCCAUCCUGCCUGCCCUAGUUAGGGAUUAUUACCCACAAUGUAUAACUACUACUCCUACUACUAAAUAAUCCUAGGCUGUGUUCCAGUAAACACACUAGCCUACCACAAAUGUAAUGGUCAUGCAUUCUAAGUGGUAUGCUACUAUGGGUGUAGUGAGAUGUAGCCCUAUUCUCACUGAAUCACUAACUCACUCGCACCUACACAGCAUUAUCAUGUCAGGUUUUGUGUUAUACUGUUUUAUAAGGGAGGCAUUUGUUGAACUUUCAGGAAAUUAGACCUAUUCAUUUUUGUAUUAUUUUUAUUUGGACUACCAGAGAAAUUGACUCAGAUUUAUUCUUUGCUCUGUGUUGCCAUUGAUUCUCUCACUCACACAUUCCCUCACCAGAGUCCUAACUUACCUUUUUGUAUACCAUCACUGCUAGACAAUCACUGUGUAUCUUUCUUGCACUAUUUAACCUGUGCAAUUGUUUGUUUAAUUGUAAUGCUUUUCUAUUGUUAUUUUUAAACAGCUCUCUUUGGGCGUCUUCCUGUUAAUUGGUCAGUACUUCAAAAAAAGCCAUUGAAUUAUCAAUACAUAUUGCAUUAAAUAGGAGUUGAGCUUACUCCUUUUUUAAAGGCCAUGUAUUUGGAAUAUGAUCCCAGGGAAUGUGUUCAGUUAAAAAUGCUAUCAUACAUUAUGUAGGACAGUAUUUUGUGGUGCACAACCAAACACUUUCCCUGGGUUUUGUGUCAUUCGCGGUGGGACCCAGGACAUUUACAAAAAGUUAAUUGAUGCAAGGUUUUAAAUGAUUAUUUUUCUAUUAUUUAUGUUCAAAUCAGUGUCUUUUGUUCAUUCCUCUCAAGCACUUAUUGUUUGAGGACCACUAUCAGUAUUAUGUCUUCGUCUCCAAAGGGACUGUGAGUCCCAAAUGGCACCCUAAAUACAACUGAACAUACCAAACUGGUGUACAAACUGCCUUACUUGAUAACAAUACAAAAAAUGGUUUGUGCUUUGUGAUGAAAUAAUAUAAUUGAUAUGAAAACAGAUUUGAAGUUAUGAGUUAUUGUACUUGAAAAGUACUUGUGGUGCAGUUGGUAUAAUUAUUCACAGAAGCACAUUACCUUUAUCUUGAUUGUAUGUCUGUUCAUUUAUGUUUAAAACAUUUUUUAAUACAGUAUAGAAAUACAUAAGAAAAAACAUUUAUAUACAAAACAUAACAAUAGAAUACAUCUUGGCACUGUAACCGACUAUGGAUGAACUGGUUAAAAAAAGUUACAUGAACCUUUAAUGAUGGGGUUGUAUUGACUAUAAUGUAGUACUGCAAAUAAUAAAUACUGAUCCUAUCUGACACUGAUAAUGAAGGAUGGAGUGUAUUGUGUAUCCUGGGGAGGAGGAGUGAUUACUUGAGGUGGGUUAUACUGACAGACAGCCAAACUUCUCUUGCCAACUAGUCUCUACAAGCACCAUUUCUGACCAAUCAAAUGGACAGCUCAGUUAUCCGGUCUGAUGUCACAACAUUCUGUGACCAACUAGACGAGAGUUGAGCAAAGGAGGGAACUGACCCUUUUUUUCGUAUUAAAGUACUUCCCAAUAACUUAAUAGGUAGAUGUAAAUAAAGGCUAGCUAGUGUUUCUUGUCUCCACCACAUUGAGCCUGCGGGAGGGAGCCUACAUUCUGGGCCAACGGUGGACUCAUCAUCGUCCCUGGAGAAUAAGUCCGGGUCAUCUCUAAAUAUCACUACACCUUGUGGGUGGGAGAGAGGAGGGCAGGGUAAAGUACAAGAAGAGGGUAAAACAAUUCAUUCAGGGAACCAAAAAAUCCUUUAGCAUGGGAGAGUACAAUAUUCUUUUUAGGAUAUCUGGCCAAUUAAUGUGUUUACGUCCAUCCAAGAGGAGCUUGCUCAUGUGUAAACUCUGUUGUGCACCAGGGGCGAGUGUUGAACUUUCCUAAUCUGCCUCCUGGGGUUUGCUGUUCUGUUCUCCGGUC